rnacentral:rRNA from 1 species
CCCUUAGAUGUUCUGGGCUGCACGCGUGUUACAAUCGGGAGUACAACAAGAUUGCAAAUCCUAGUGGAUGAGUGGUUCUUCGAAAUUUUCUGAAGACUGGGAUAGUUGAUUGAAAUUAUUAAACUCAAACGAGGAAUUCCUUGUAAUUGUAAUUCAUUAUAUUGUAAUGAAUACGUCCCUGCCCUUUGUACACACCGCCCGUCGCUCCUACCGAUUGAACGAUCCGGUGAAUUAUUUGGAGUAGCUCUGGAAGUUGCAGAACUUCCUAUGUCACGAAAUUUUGUAAACCUUAUCGUUUAGAGGAAGGAAAAGUCGUAACA